rnacentral:rRNA from 1 species
AACACAUGCAAGUCGAGGGGCAGCAUGAACUUGGCUUGCUAAGUUUGAUGGCGACCGGCGCACGGGUGAGUAACACGUAUCCAACCUGCCGAUGACUCGGGGAUAGCCUUUCGAAAGAAAGAUUAAUACCCGAUGGCAUAGUUCUUCCGCAUGGUAGGACUAUUAAAGAAUUUCGGUCAUCGAUGGGGAUGCGUUCCAUUAGCUUGUUGGCGGGGUAACGGCCCACCAAGGCAUCGAUGGAUAGGGGUUCUGAGAGGAAGGUCCCCCACAUUGGAACUGAGACACGGUCCAAACUCCUACGGGAGGCAGCAGUGAGGAAUAUUGGUCAAUGGGCGCUAGCCUGAACCAGCCAAGUAGCGUGAAGGAUGACGGCCCUAUGGGUUGUAAACUUCUUUUAUAUGGGAAUAAAGUGCAGUAUGUAUACUGCUUUGCAUGUACCUUAUGAAUAAGGAUCGGCUAACUCCGUGCCAGCAGCCGCGGUAAUACGGAGGAUCCGAGCGUUAUCCGGAUUUAUUGGGUUUAAAGGGAGCGUAGGCGGGUCGUUAAGUCAGUUGUGAAAGUUUGCGGCUCAACCGUAAAAUUGCAAUUGAUACUAGCAUCCUUGAGUACAGUAGAGGUAGGCGGAAUUCGUGGUGUAGCGGUGAGGAUGCUUAGAUAU